AACACUGAGCACAGCUGUGUGCACAAAAGGGCAUCCAUUAGGAUAAUUUCAUAGAGAAUAUUAUAGACCAUGGGUUUGUUAACUUUAGUGUCCUUUGACCAGGGGUUCGCAAUCCUGACUGCACAUUUAAAUCACCUGCAAUCCUGACUGCACAUUUAAAUCACCUGGGGAUCUUUCUAAACACGCGGACCCUCCAGGCCCCACCCCAGAUUAAUUAAACCAGAAUCUCCGGGGGUGUGGCCUGGGCAUGGGUAUUGAUAAAGCUCCCCCAGGUGAUUUUGAGAUGCAAAGUUGUGACCACUGACCUAGAAGCUGCUUUUUUUUUUUUUUGAGACAAAUCUGCCCUUUUAACAGCUGGUUCUGAUUCAGGUGAUCCCAGGAACUUACUGUCGUUGAGUCACUGUGGUCUCCCAACUUGUUCCUUCUUUUUGUAUCAGGAAGGUGACUUCUCAAUACCAGGAUAGGGACAACAAAUUUCAGAAUGUAGAGAGAAUCCCUCUUUCGGGGAGUCACAGAACAGUAUGUAUGAUGGGUGUGAAAGGAAAAGUUAAAACGCAAGCUAAGCCACUAAGUGGAGAGGAGGUAUGUGUCAUUCUAUCAGCAUUUGAAAAAUGGGAUUCAGGGAGGCCUUUUGCAAAAUUGUGCUUUCCAAGGAAACUAAUACAGGGUGGCAUGUUGCAAGAUUCUUGUCAAAGGAAGGGGAUCCAAGUACAGAUGUUGCAACACUGUGCUGCCAAAGGAAGUGGAAGCAAAGGAAGUGGCUUCUUAGUCUAUCAGAUCUGGAACAAAGCUUAGAGAUUAUCUUGACCAAUCUUCUCACUGGAUAGAAGGGGAAACUAAGGUUCAGAGAAGGGAAGGCUUGUGCCCAGGGGCAGCCAGGGAGUUACUGAUGAGUUCAAAUUGCAAUCCAGGCUUCCUAUCCACCACCUACCUGCUGCCCUUUCCUCUUCUCCCUGAAUAUCUAUCCCCUCACUGUUUUGCUCUGGGUCCCUAGCCCAGCCUCCACAUCCCCACCCUCUGGACAGUGCCCAAGGUCAAAGGAUGAGCCUAAAUCUGUGUGCCAGGAUCUAAACCCACCAGAUGACAGGGGCGAAAGCCAGCGGUGGCAGUGGCAAGCCGGAGAGGAAGGAGCAGUGUCUGAUGAUGUGGCCUGACCUCAGAAAGGAAACCUGGUUGGUCACCAGGGGGAAUUUCCCCGGGUGAGGUCUCACGUCUAUGCAAAUAUUGCACUGCAAUUAACCUGGACCCUGGGAUGGGAGAGAGAAAAGAGGAGAGGACACUGGGAAAGACAGAAGGGCAGGUAAUAGGACCUGAACAUUCCCAGGGUACCAGGCACUGUGCUAGGCUCCUCAUGAAAUUAAUCUCAUUUUGCCUCUAAAGUAUCCUCCAAUGUAGGAAAAUUGAGUCUGAGGCCCAGUGAGAGGGUGCGUUGCCCAAGCAAAAUCAGCACAUUCCUACCCCAACGGGAUACCAGGCCUCAGGGAGAAGUGAUGAUGGUGACGAUAGAUUUGGCGCUGCGGCUGCUGACAAAGGUGACAGUAAUGAGGCUUGAGUCCGGGACUCUAGCAAGGUUUCAUUUUAGGUUUCCAUCUCACUCAACCAGGGGAGUUUUAUCCUGGGAACGGCCAAAGGCAGCAGGAAGGUAGUGACCCUGACUCACCUUGGGCAAAUCCCAGCACUCUGGUUUUUCAAAGCCCUGUGGGGGCAAGGGAUGUGGUAGCUGGCACAGUUAACCCCUUCACCACCAGUUUCUAGAAUGCUCCUGGAAAAGUGAACAGAAUGGGAUCCAUACUUUUGAAGGAGAAUCAAUUUUUCUCUGCUACCUCUUUAAAUUUCACUCGCUGUGCGCCUCACCGUAUCCAGAAAGCCUUCCCCGGGGACUUCACUCGUUUUCCAAGGCUUGAUCUCAUUUACUGCCUGGUUCUCCAAGGAGCUAGUCUUGUCUCCCAGAAUAGGAUGCCAAGUAGGAUCAGAGUUCAAGUCAGGGCUGUUGGGCUCGAAGUCUGCCCUCCACACAGCCUGGUUGGUUGUCCUCCUCUGAUGGGCUUACACAACAACAAGCAGACUCCUGAUUUCUGGAGGUGUGUGGGGCACACUAAGGCUAUGCACUAAGAAAAGUGUGAGUGUGCACAUGCCCCAGUGUGUGUGAAGAACAAGUUAGGAUACAUAUGCGAGGUGUUUCCCACGUGCACAGCAACACACACACACACACACACACACACAUAAUGUCUGUAUUUUUGGUUGUUAUCAGCAAACUAAAAAAAAAUUAUUUUCUCUGUAUGGUCAACAAUGUGUGUCUCUGUAUGUGUUACCAGCAGAAUACCUUACACUCCUUUGUAUUACCAGCAAUGUGUUUCUCAUUCUACUGUGUGCUCUGUGGGUAUGGCUGGCAGUGACUGUAAUUCUGUGUGACAAGCAGUAUUUACGGGCCUUGAGUGGAUAGCAGGCACAUGGGAAAGUGGGGGAAGGAAAUGUCAGUUCCCCACCC
rnacentral:lncRNA from 1 species